UACGUAGGCAGCAAGCGUUGUUCGGAGUUACUGGGCGUAAAGGGUGCGUAGGCGGCCCUGUAAGUAUGGUGUGAAAUCUCCCGGCUUAACUGGGAGGGUGCGCUAUAGACUGCGGGGCUCGAGUGUGGGAGAGGAAAGUGGAAUUCCUGGUGUAGCGGUGAAAUGCGUAGAUAUCAGGAGGAACACCGGUGGUGUCAACGGCUUUCUGGACCAUAACUGACGCUGAGGCACGAAAGCGUGGGUAGCAAACAGG
rnacentral:rRNA from 1 species